CCUUAAGUGUCUCUGAUAUCAAUGUAUUAUUACAAUUAUUAUAUUUACAUUUAACUUGCAUAAGUUUGAUAGCCUGUUUGGACUGCUUAUUCUGUAAAUUUGUAUUCAUUGUGUAAUAUUAUAGUUAUUUCUUUUAUUUUAAACUUGUUUUCCAUUUUUACUUACAUAAUUCUGGCACACACUCUUAAAAAAAGGGGUUCCUCAAGGUUCUAUAUUGAACCCUUGGGUUCCGUACUUGGCCAAUAGAACCUUUUACCAAAAAAAUGGUUCUAUGUAGAACCCUUGCAUGCAAAGAACCCUUUUUUUUUUAUUAAAAUGGUUCUAUUAUUCAUGUUUUAUGACUGAAGUGUAAACUAAAGAUUACACUAUAAUUAUCCUUACUCAACACAUUCACAAAGCAUUUUGAGUCAAGACCCAUGAGAAUGACUGCUGUAGUCAAAAAGAUUAAUAUCUACUCAAUGUAUGAUUUGAGCUGUACAUUAGGAUGACAAUUAUAUUACUUUACAUUAUAGUUUACCUUUUUGACGAAUCAAUUUGUGAAGAAAAACAAACUAACCAGGAGUUUUCUUUAUUUUGUUUACCAUAUUGUGAUGGUUUUAAUCUACCUAAGGGAACAUUAAAAAACAAAUAAUCAUAAAAAGACCCUUCCCCUGUGGCAUAUAUGCGUUGCGUCAUCCUUGAAUUCCUAUUGGUGGAUGGGCGAAGAUGAAUCGCGAGAGGAGUCGAGGCAAGUGACAGUUAAUUUUUCAAACUGAGGAGUCCGCCAUUUCUGCUCGUUCAUACCCUAAGAUAACCAUGGUUGAUAAAUGGUCAGUAGAUGACACGUGCCACUGGCUUGAAACUAUAGACCUCAUUGAUGCAAAAGAAAGUUUCAGAGAUUCUGCAUGAAAUGACAAUGAGGUUUGGAACCGACUUGGUGAAGAACAUGGAAACAUCUCUGAAUGAAAUGGCCCC